rnacentral:lncRNA from 1 species
GCACCUAUGGAUCAUCAAUCUGUGCUAGCGCAUGAGUCGGAGUCACCUAAUGUGACCUGUACGACAAGCUAGGUGUAAUUAUAUACGCUCUAGUGCUACGAUCACAUGAAGCUAGCGCUAUACAUGGUCACCUAUGAGUCGGAGUCGCCUAAUGCAACUUGUACGACAGGCUAGCACCUAACUUGGAUCCAAGGCGAGAGUGCGGUGCGGGAAGUGAACAAUCACGUGAAGGCUGGCCCUGGCCUAAGGCGAGAGCCCUAACAUUGGGGUGCAGCAAUGAUGAGCACUACAUGAAUAUAUGCAUGCCAUAAUGAUUCAAUGAUUGUAA